AACGCGAAGAACCUUACCAAGUCUUGACAUCCCUCUGACGUACUCGUAAUGGAGUAUUCCUUUCGGGGCAGAGGAGACAGGUGGUGCAUGGUUGUCGUCAGCUCGUGUCGUGAGAUGUUGGGUUAAGUCCCGCAACGAGCGCAACCCUUAUCUUUAGUAGCCAGCAAGUAAUGUUGGGCACUCUAGAGAGACUGCCAGGGAGAACCUGGAGGAAGGUGGGGAUGACGUCAAAUCAUCAUGCCCCUUAUGACUUGGGCUACACACGUGCUACAAUGGCGUAAACAAAGGGAAGCAGCCCUGUGAAGGUGAGCAAAUCCCAAAAAUAACGUCUCAGUUCGGAUUGUAGUCUGCAACUCGACUACAUGAAGCUGGAAUCGCUAGUAAUCGCGAAUCAGAAUGUCGCGGUGAAUACGUUCCCGGGUCUUGUACACACCG
rnacentral:rRNA from 1 species